CAUGAACAUAAAACGUUUACAAUUAUAUUUUAUAAAAACACAGCUAACAAAACAUCUAUGUUUGUGUGCUUAAAUCAAUAAGAUCUGCAAAGGGGUUGUAUCUUUCUAUUAAGUCUUAUGUGUAUUAGGUUUAGUUACUCUAAUGCUCUUUGAAAUUAUGAUCAAAUCUCAUAUUGUCUUUAAAACUAUAGCCAAAUUUCAUAUUGUCCCC
rnacentral:lncRNA from 1 species